rnacentral:rRNA from 1 species
CAGUCGCCGCGGGAAUACGGAGGGUGCAAGCGUUAUCCGGAUUUAUUGGGUUUAAAGGGUCCGUAGGCGGAUCUGUAAGUCAAUGGUGAAAUCUCACAGCUUAACUGUGAAACUGCCAUUGAUACUGCAGGUCUUGAGUAAAUUUGAAGUGGCUGGAAUAAGUAGUGUAGCGGUGAAAUGCAUAGAUAUUACUUAGAACACCAAUUGCGAAGGCAGGUCACUAAGAUUUAACUGACGCUGAUGGACGAAAGCGUGGGGAGCGAACAGGAUUAGAUACCCGCGUAGUCCCUGUCUCUUAUAC